GUCCACGCCGUAAACGAUGAAUGUUAGCCGUCGGCAAGUUGACUUGUCGGUGGCGCAGCUAACGCAUUAAACAUUCCGCCUGGGGAGUACGGUCGCAAGAUUAAAACUCAAAGGAAUUGACGGGGCCCGCACAAGCGGUGGAGCAUGUGGUUUAAUUCGAAGCAACGCGCAGAACCUUACCAGCUCUUGACAUCCUGUGACCGCCACGGAGACGUGGUUUCCUUUCGGGGACACAGAGACAGGUGCUGCAUGGCUGUCGU
rnacentral:rRNA from 1 species